rnacentral:rRNA from 1 species
GACGAACGCUGGCGGCGUGCCUAAUACAUGCAAGUCGAGCGGACAGAAGGGAGCUUGCUCCCGGAAGUUAGCGGCGGACGGGUGAGUAACACGUGGGCAACCUACCCUGUAGAUCGGGAUAACAUCGAGAAAUCGGUGCUAAUACCGGAUAAUCAUUUGAAGUGCAUGCUUCGAAUGUAAAAGAUGGCUCCGGCUAUCACUACGGGAUGGGCCCGCGGCGCAUUAGCUAGUUGGUAAGGUAAUGGCUUACCAAGGCAACGAUGCGUAGCCGACCUGAGAGGGGGAUCGGCCACACUGGGACUGAGACACGGCCCAGACUCCUACGGGAGGCAGCAGUAGGGAAUCUUCCGCAAUGGACGAAAGUCUGGCGGAGCAACGCCGCGUGAGUGAUGAAGGUUUUCGGAUCGUAAAGCUCUGUUGUUAGGGAAGAACAAGUGCCGUUUGAAUAAGGCGGCACCUUGACGGUACCUAACCAGAAAGCCACGGCUAACUACGUGCCAGCCGCCGCAGUAACAC